GCAGCCAGAAGCUAGGGCCUGUAAGGGGGGGCUAGUGUUAGGGGUCUGGAAGACUGUGUAUGCUUGAAGGGACUUUGGUACCAGUGGUUCCUGUCAGGACGCAUUUUCCACUGAAGCAGGACACUGCACACAUUGUGAUGGAAUAUGUGUGGGAGAACGCUUAGCCCAGAUGCUGCUCCAUGUGCAUCUUUUUGGAUCUAUAGCAGCUGUCUUUUUCUGUACCUGAGACUAUGCAGAUAUUAUCCUGCACGUGGUGCUUAACUGUUUAAGCACACAGCACUAUUGGAAUGUGCUGAUUGAGGUGAGGACGUGUGGGCUUUGCAUGUAUACAAAGAAAUAGUGGUAUGCACAGGGUGUUAUUGUACAUCUUCCCGAGCACCCACCCUCUAGCCACCUGCUCUGAUAUAUGGGUUACCUUUGUCUAAUCUUGUGUACAAGUAGUAUUAUUAUUUUCGAAACAAGCAUUGUCACCAUUAUUGUUAUUUAUUGGGACCUGGGAGGCUCAGUCAUCUUUUGUUCUAUUUUUUUCUAGAUAUACUUUUUAACUAUUCUGAAUUGCUAUACUAAGGGGUAUAUGCAAUUGCGGUCGAAUUCCCGAAAUUGUCGAAUUUCGGUCAUUUUCGACCAAAAAAAAAAAUCGCCUAUGCAAUUCAGUGCUUUCCGACCAAAAAACGGACUUUCAAAAUUCGACUUUUUGAAAUUCGAAUUUUUGCAAAUUCGACUUUUCUGCAAUGAUACAAGUGCUGCAAUUCGACCAAAGCAUAUUCAAUUCAAGUUUGGAAA